AAUUCGCCCUUAGAGUUUGAUCAUGGCUCAGAUUGAACGCUGGCGGCAUGCCUUACACAUGCAAGUCGAACGGUAACGCGGGGCAACCUGGCGACGAGUGGCGAACGGGUGAGUAAUAUAUCGGAACGUGCCCAGUCGUGGGGGAUAACUGCUCGAAAGAGCAGCUAAUACCGCAUACGACCUGAGGGUGAAAGCGGGGGAUCUUCGGACCUCGCGCGAUUGGAGCGGCCGAUAUCAGAUUAGGUAGUUGGUGGGGUAAAGGCCUACCAAGCCGACGAUCUGUAGCUGGUCUGAGAGGACGACCAGCCACACUGGGACUGAGACACGGCCCAGACUCCUACGGGAGGCAGCAGUGGGGAAUUUUGGACAAUGGGGGCAACCCUGGUCCAGCCAUGCCGCGUGCGGGAAGAAGGCCUUCGGGUUGUAAACCGCUUUUGUCAGGGAAGAAAUCCUUUGGGCUAAUAACUCGGAGGGAUGACGGUAC
rnacentral:rRNA from 1 species